GUAAUAGUUAGGACCAAAUUUUGGUUUCGCAAAGGUAAACCAUACCUUGUCCGGUCGUGUUCGAUACAAUUUUUUUUUCAAGAUUUAGAAGGCUUUUUGAUAUGUCGUUGACAAGAAGGGAGCUUUAUGAAGUUUGGCGACGGAAAAGUGGUCUUAAAUAAAAAAAUUCGGCGGUCCUUUCAUAUGCUAUUCGCCGACUUGGUAUACCCGAAGACAAAGAGACAACAACCAAAUCAAAAGUAUCUUGUAGUGAAGCGCACAGCAAAUAGUUUCACUAGGAAACUGCAAUAAAAGUGGGAAA